UGAGGAAUAUUUGUCAAUGGGCGAGAGCCUGAACCAGCCAAGUAGCGUGCAGGAUGACGGCCCUAUGGGUUGUAAACUGCUUUUAUGUGGGGAUAAAGUGCGUGACGUGUCAUGCAUUGCAGGUACCACAUGAAUAAGGACCGGCUAAUUCCGUGCCAGCAGCCGCGGUAAUACGGAAGGUCCGGGCGUUAUCCGGAUUUAUUGGGUUUAAAGGGAGCGUAGGCUGUCUAUUAAGCGUGUUGUGAAAUUUACCGGCUCAACCGGUGGCUUGCAGCGAGAACUGGUCGACUUGAGUAUGCAGGAAGUAGGCGGAAUUCAUGGUGUAGCGGUGAAAUGCUUGGAUAUCAUGACGAACUCCGAUUGCGCAGGCAGCUUACUGGAGUAUAACUGACGCUGAUGAUCGAAAGGGCGGGUAUCAAACAGG
rnacentral:rRNA from 1 species